UACCAGCACCCCGAGUGGUCGGGACGAUUAUUGGGCCUAAAGCAUCCGUAGCCGGUUCUACAAGUCUUCCGUUAAAUCCACCUGCUUAACAGAUGGGCUGCGGAGGAUACUAUAGAGCUAGGAGGCGGGAGAGGCAAGCGGUACUUAGUGGGUAGGGGUAAAAUCCGUUGAUCCAUUGAAGACCACCAGUGGCGAAGGCGGCUUGCCAGAACGCACUCGACGGUGAGGGAUGGAAAGCUGGGGAGCAAACCGGG
rnacentral:rRNA from 1 species